GACGAACCGUGCAAACGUUAUUCGGAAUCACUGGGCAUAAAGGGCGCGUAGGCGGCUCCAAAAGUCAGGGGUGAAAUCCGGCAGCUUAACUGUCGCAGUGCCUUUGAUACUGUGGAGCUAGAGGGAGGUAGGGGGUCUGUGGAACUUCCGGUGGAGCGGUGAAAUGCGUUGAUAUCGGAAGGAACGCCGGUGGCGAAAGCGGGUAGCUGGGCCAACACUGACGCUGAUGCGCGAAAGCUAGGGUAGCAAACGGGG
rnacentral:rRNA from 1 species